GAUGAACGCUGGCGGCGUGCCUAAUACAUGCAAGUCGAGCGAACAGACGCGGAGCUUGCUUCUCUGGUGUUAGCAACGGACGAGUGAGUCACACGUGGAUAACCUACCUAUAAGACUGAGAUCACUUCGAGAAACCGUAGCUACUACCGGGUAAUAUUUUGAACCGGAUGGUUCAAAAGUUAAAUUCGGUCUUGCUGUCGCUUAUAGCUGGUUCCCCGCUGCAUUAGCUAGUUGGUAAGGUAACGGGUUACCGAGACAACGAUUGAUAGACUACGUGAGAGGGGGAUCGGCGACAUGGGAACGUAGACACGGUCAAGAGUCCUACGAGAGGCAGCAGUAGGGAACGGGCCGCAAUGGGCGAAAGCAUGACGGAGCAGCGCCGCGUGAGUGAUGAAGGUCCUCGGAUCGGAAAACCCUGUUAUUAGGGAAGAACAUAUGUGUAAGGAACUGUGCACAUCUUGACGGUACCUAAUCAGAAAGCCACGGCUAACUACGUG
rnacentral:rRNA from 1 species